UACGGAGGGUGCAAGCGUUGUCCGGAAUCACUGGGCGUAAAGGGCGCGUAGGCGGUCUGGUAAGUAGGGGGUGAAAUCCUGCGGCUUAACCGCAGGGCUGCCUUCUAAACUGGCAGGCUUGAGCACGGUAGAGGCAGAUGGAAUUCCCGGUGUAGCGGUGGAAUGCGUAGAGAUCGGGAAGAACAUCAGUGGCGAAGGCGGUCUGCUGGGCCGUUGCUGACGCUGAGGCGCGACAGCGUGGGGAGCAAACAGG
rnacentral:rRNA from 1 species